GAACCUGAAACCGUGUACGUACAAGCAGUAGGAGCACCUUCGUGGUGUGACUGCGUACCUUUUGUAUAAUGGGUCAGCGACUUAUAUUCAGUGGCAAGGUUAACCGUAUAGGGGAGCCGUAGCGAAAGCGAGUCUUAACUGGGCGCUCAGUCUCUGGAUAUAGACCCGAAACCGGGUGAUCUAGCCAUGGGCAGGUUGAAGGUUGAGUAACAUCAACUGGAGGACCGAACCGACUAAUGUUGAAAAAUUAGCGGAUGACUUGUGGCUAGGGGUGAAAGGCCAAUCAAACUCGGAGAUAGCUGGUUCUCCCCGAAAGCUAUUUAGGUAGCGCCUCGGACGAAUACUACUGGGGGUAGAGCACUGUUAAGGCUAGGGGGUCAUCCCGACUUACCAACCCU
rnacentral:rRNA from 1 species